rnacentral:rRNA from 1 species
UACAGAGGGGGCAAGCGUUAUUCGGAAUUAUUGGGCGUAAAGGGCGCGUAGGCGGCCUGGCAAGUGGAAGGUGAAAUCCCUCGGCUUAACCGAGGAACUGCCCUCCAAACUGCUUGGCUUGAGUCCGGGAGAGGUGAGUGGAAUUCCCAGUGUAGCGGUGAAAUGCGUAGAUAUCGGGAAGAACACCCGUGGCGAAGGCGGCUCUCUGGGACGGUACUGACGCUGAGACGCGAAAAGCGUGGGGGAGCGAACAGG